CAUCUAGCUCAGUUGGUAGAGCCUGAGGCUCUUAACUUUGUGAUCAUGAGUUUUAGCCCCAUGAUG
rnacentral:tRNA from 1 species